rnacentral:rRNA from 1 species
AAAAUAAAGUAGCGAAGUCCGUGAGCCAUGCGUCAAGAAAAGCCGCUAUUGUUUAUACCGUACCCGUACCGUAAACCGACACAGGUGGAUGAGGAGAGAAUCCUAAGGCCGGCGGAAGAAGCAUUGUCAAGGAACUCGGCAAAAUGGCCCCGUAACUUAGGGAUAAGGGGUGCCUGGGAAACCAGGCCGCAGAGAAUAGGCUCAAGCAACUGUUUAGCAAAAACACAGGUCUAUGCGAAACCGAAAGGUGAGGUAUAUGGGCUGACGCCUGCCCGGUGCUGGAAGGUUAAGAGGAGAGGUUAGCGGUAACGCGAAGCUUUGAAUUUAAGCCCCAGUAAACGGCGGCCGUAACGAUAACGGUCCUAAGGUAGCGAAAUUCCUUGUCGGGUAAGUUCCGACCCGCACGAAAGGCGUAAUGAUUUGAGCGCUGUCUCGACAAUGCAUCCGGUGAAAUUGAAGUACCAGUGAAGAUGCUGGUUACCUGCGCCAGGACGGAAAGACCCCAUGGAGCUUUACUCAGUCUGGUACUGGGACUCGGUAUUGCAUGAACAGGAUAGGUGGGAGGCUAGGAGAUGGUAACGCCAGUUGCCAUGGAGCCGCUGUUGGGAUACCACCCUUGCAGUAUUGGGUUUCUAACCAGCCGCCGUGACCCGGCGGUGGGACAAUGCCAGACGGGGAGUUUGACUGGGGCGGUCGCCUCCGAAAGGGUAUCGGAGGCGCCCAAAGGUUCCCUCAGAAUGGACGGAAACCAUUCGAAGAGUGCAAAGGCAGAAGGGAGCUUGACUGCGACACCGACGGGUGGAGCAGGUACGAAAGUAGGGCUUAGUGAUCCGGUGGUAUUAAGUGGGAAUGCCAUCGUUCAACGGAUAAAAGCUACCCUGGGAUAACAGGCUUAUCACUCCCAAGAGUUCACAUCGACGGAGUGGUUUGGCACCUCGAUGUCGGCUCAUCGCAUCCUGGGGCUGUAGUAGGUCCCAAGGGUUGGGCUGUUCGCCCAUUAAAGCGGUACGCGAGCUGGGUUCAGAACGUCGUGAGACAGUUCGGUCCCUAUCCGGCGUGGGCGUAGGAUAUCUGAGAGGAGCUGUCCUUAGUACGAGAGGACCGGGAUGGACGGGCCGCUGGUGCAUCGGUUAGACUGCCAAGUCUACGGCCGAGUAGCCAAGCCCGGAAGGGAUAAACGCUGAAGGCAUCUAAGCGUGAAGCCCCCCUUAAGAUGAGAUAUCCCAUUCGAAAGAAGUAAACCCCCUUGAAGACGACGAGGUAGAUAGGGCAGAGGUGGAAGUGCAGCAAUGCAUGGAGCUGACUGUUACUAAUCGGGUGAGGGCUUGACCU